CAGUCGCCGCGGUAAUACGUAGGUGGCAAGCGUUGUCCGGAAUUAUUGGGCGUAAAGGGCUCGCAGGCGGUUUCUUAAGUCUGAUGUGAAAGCCCCCGGCUCAACCGGGGAGGAUCAUUGGAAACUGGGAAACUUGAGUGCAGAAGAGGAGAGUGGAAUUCCACGUGUAGCGGUGAAAUGCGUAGAGAUGUGGAGGAACACCAGUGGCGAAGGCGACUCUCUGGUCUGUAACUGACGCUGAGGAGCGAAAGCGUGGGGAGCGAACAGGAUUAGAUACCCCUGUAGUCCCUGUCUCUUAUAC
rnacentral:rRNA from 1 species